rnacentral:rRNA from 1 species
AUACGUAGGGGGCGAGCGUUGUCCGGAAUGAUUGGGCGUAAAGGGCGCGUAGGCGGCCCGGUAAGUCUGGAGUGAAAGUCCUGUUUUUAAGAUGGGAAUUGCUUUGGAUACUGUCGGGCUUGAGUGCAGGAGAGGUAAGUGGAAUUCCCAGUGUAGCGGUGAAAUGCGUAGAGAUUGGGAGGAACACCAGUGGCGAAGGCGACUUACUGGACUGUAACUGACGCUGAGGCGCGAAAGUGUGGGGAGCAAACAGGAUUAGAUACCCUGGUAGUCCACACUGUAAACGAUGAAUGCUAGGUGUAGGGGGUAUCGACCCCUUCUGUGCCGCAGUCAACACAAUAAGCAUUCCGCCUGGGGAGUACAGCCGCAAGGUUGAAACUCAAAUGAAUUGACGGGG